GCUUUCAUGGUGUAAUUGGAUAGCACGUCCGACUAGCAAUCGAGAGGUCCAGUGUUCGAAUCCCGGAGAAGGCA